UACAGAGGGGGCAAGCGUUGUUCGGAAUUACUGGGCGUAAAGGGCGCGUAGGCGGCCUUCUAAGUCGAACGUGAAAUCCCUGGGCUCAACCCAGGAACUGCGUCCGAUACUGGAAGGCUUGAAUCCGGGAGGGGGAUGCGGAAUUCCAGGUGUAGCGGUGAAAUGCGUAGAUAUCUGGAGGAACACCGGUGGCGAAGGCGGCAUCCUGGACCGGUAUUGACGCUGAGGCGCGAAAGCCAGGGGAGCAAACGGG
rnacentral:rRNA from 1 species